AUACUUAGCUGGCAGGUGAGAAACCAUGAUCACAAAGAUGGUUUUACCCAGGCAAAUCUUAUCCAUUGCACUCCAGAUGCUGACCCCUGUGAUUUUCCCAAAUAUGGAAAACUUGAGUGCAUAAUUUGUGGUAGUGGGAGACUGCAUUCACAUUCUGCCC
ensembl:snRNA U1 U1 spliceosomal RNA